rnacentral:rRNA from 1 species
UACGUAGGGUGCGAGCGUUGUCCGGAAUUAUUGGGCGUAAAGCGCGCGCAGGCGGUCCUUUAAGUCUGAUGUGAAAGCCCACGGCUCAACCGUGGAGGGUCAUUGGAAACUGGGGGACUUGAGUGCAGAAGAGGAAAGUGGAAUUCCAAGUGUAGCGGUGAAAUGCGUAGAGAUUUGGAGGAACACCAGUGGCGAAGGCGACUUUCUGGUCUGUAACUGACGCUGAGGCACGAAAGCGUGGGGAGCAAACAGG